ensembl:lncRNA
GCUCCUCGUCCCCCUGCGUUUCUUCCGACAGUUUUACACCACCACCACCACCACUAUCUGUGUGGGUUGGGGAGAGAAUUUUUUUUUUUCCUCCUCUUUCCCUAAAGCGAAGCGUGAUGGCAGCGGGACACGCGCGCACACAUUCCCGAGCCGCACACGCACACGCGCUCCGACCCUCCUUUCCCACCCCUUUUCCUUACAUCCCGGCGGCGAGGGUUUCUCUGGGAGGAAUUCACUCUCCGCCACGAAUCGGGAGACGCUGGGCUCCCGAGGAGCGCACCUCGGGCACUUUCCCCAUUUCCCACGCAGAUUGUUGUUAGUUCUCUCUCCCGACCAAACGUGCAAAGAGCUUUCAGCACCGGCUCUGGACAGGGCGAGAGGAGCUGGGAGGGCCGGGGGCUGAAGGCGGAUGCGGCGGAGACCCGAAGUGCCCAACACGCGCUCGUAGAGCGCUCUGCAGCGCGUCGUUCAGUUUCUGUGCUAAGUGAAUGUUUUGGUAUGAAAUCGCUGGAGAGCCUUAGUGGAGCAGAACUCAGCUCGGUGCCCUUAAUCAGCUUUGAGUAAGAUUUGGCUAACCGGCGAGGCUCUGUCCUCCUCCGGCAAAUCUGCCCGCGCUCAGCUCCCACCGCCCCCGGCCCCCCCGGCCCCGGCCACGGGCUCUCCCAGCCGCGCAGUGCACCCGCUCGGCCCCCGCCGCUGUCGUAUCAGCACGCGGCCGGCACCCCAACAGCACUUCAGCCGUUGAGUUCUCCGCCGUCUCCGCUCGGCUUUGGCUCUCACGAAGCCAAACGAGAGCGGCGAGAGCGGCGGCCCCGCAGCCCCACGCACGGACACGCGCGGUGUUGGUACACACGGGGCCGGGCCCCGCCGUUCUGGGAAGGCACUGUCAGCCCUCGAGCGUGCAAAGUGCGGCCCGCAGAGAGCGUGGCCGCUCCCGGGCGAGCUGAGUGCGGCUGCACCCCUGGGGAGCGCGGUGCCGGGAAGUUAGCGGGCAGCAUCUGUUGAUUAACCAGCGGCUCGCAGCGGGGCUCGGAGCUGGAGAUAAGGGCCGGCAAUGAUUGACCGCCUGCC